CAAAAUCAAGCCAGUCGACAUUCUAGUGUGAAGUGGGAAGGGAUUCUUAAGCCCUCACCCCUAAACGAGGAGCUAUGGAAAGUCAGUGGCUACAGGGAUGGGGAACACAGAGCCAAUUUUUUUUUUUUUCCGGAGCUGGGGACGGAACCCAGGGCCUUGCGCUUGCUAGGCAAGCGCUCUACCGCUGAGCUAAAUCCCCAACCCCGCCAAUUUUCUUUAGGGUGUGACUCCUGGUAAGCUAACUCUGUUCCCUCCAGUCGAUGUCCCCAUACCCAGGAGUAUAUCGGCAGCACAAAUUGGAAUUAAUGGGCCAUUUUAAAAAGAGGACACAAAGUUUCAGGAGGGAAAGGAGGUGGGGAUGGGUGGAAGGAUUCAGGGAGAAAGAAUGGGGGGGUUGAGUUGAUCAAAAUAAUAUCACAUGAAAUUCUCAAAGAAUUAUUUAAAAUAUUUUUAAAGAUUUA
rnacentral:lncRNA from 1 species